rnacentral:rRNA from 1 species
AACGAACGCUGGCGGCAUGCCUAACACAUGCAAGUCGAACGAAGGCUUCGGCCUUAGUGGCGCACGGGUGAGUAACGCGUGGGAAACUGCCUAUUGGUGGGGAAUAACGACGGGAACCUGUCGCUAAUACCGCAUAAGCCCUUCGGGGGAAAGAUUUAUCGCCGAUAGAUGUGCCCGCGUCCGAUUAGCUAGUUGGUGAGGUAAUGGCUCACCAAGGCGACGAUCGGUAGCUGGUCUGAGAGGAUGAUCAGCCAAACUGGGACUGAGACACGGCCCAGACUCCUACGGGAGGCAGCAGUGGGGAAUAUUGGACAAUGGGCGAAAGCCUGAUCCAGCAAUGCCGCGUGAGUGAUGAAGGCCUUAGGGUUGUAAGGCUCUUUCGGGUGGGACGAUGAUGACGGUACCACCAGAAGAAGCCCCGGCUAACUUCGUGCCAGCCGCCGCGGUAA